GAUGAAGAACGUAGCGAAAUGCGAUAAGUAGUGUGAAUUGCAGAAUUCAGUGAAUCAUCGAAUCUUUGAACGCACAUUGCGCCCCUUGGUAUCCCGAGGGGCAUGCCGGUUCGAGCGUCAUUUCACCACUCAAGCCUGGCUUGGUGUUGGGCGACGUCCCCUUUGGGGACGCGCCUCGAAACGCUCGGCGGCGUGGCACCGGCUUUAAGCGUAGCAGAAUCUUUCGCUUUGGAAGUCGGGGCCCCGUCUGCCGGAAGACCUACUCGCAAGGUUGACCUCGGAUCAGGCAGGGAUACCCGCUGAACUUAAGCAUAUCAAUAAGCGGAGGA
rnacentral:misc_RNA from 1 species